CAGAGCGUAUGCCCACGAAAGCAAACGCAUCCCGCAUAUCCGCAUCCUUUCCAUCAUCAUCCUCUCCUGUUUUCCCCUUUUUCAUUCUUCACGUCUUCCCCGAAAAAGUUUUGAUUUCUUUUCCAGUCGCUGCCCCCCCCCCCCCCCCCCCCCCCAUCCAUCCAUCCAUCCCGCUGUGUGUAAGAGUCUCUACCCUCCCAUCCACCUACCCACCACCGUACGUCGGCUCGUGCGUGUCUGCGACGAACUCGCCCCCUCACCUGGCUUUCCUUCUCCAUUGGUGAACUCUCUCACAGGUCUCUCGGAUAACGCGGGAGCAAUAUAGACGCCCUCUGGACACAGCAGCAGCAACCUUCGACACGCUCACGCAGCUUCACUGCUGGCGUGUGCCUCCGCGCGCGCACACAUACGCACAGACCCAACCGACCUUGCGCGUCGCCCGCACAUUUUGAGGAACACACACACACAUAUAUAUAUAUAUAUAUAUAUAUAUAUGUAUAUACCCUCUCAAGUCUUCGCCUUUUCGCUUUCCAAUUGGACGACAUCGUCACUCCGCCGUACAGCACCGCCGCCAAGCCGCCCGCGACUUUCGAGCCGCUCCAUCGACGUACGCCGUUCUUCUUGAGGUGUUGCUUCCCCGCACCACCGCUUUGUUCUUGCCAGCACCCUCCUGAGCGGGACAGCCUUCCAUGAUACAGCCACCACCUUACGCGCACCGGCUCAUUCGAAAGCAUGGACUUCGCCUUUCGCCUGUUCACCUCCGUCAUCCCGGUGGACCGGGAGAAGAUGACGCAUCAGAUGCUUGUCUUCUGGCUUAUCCUCACCAGUGGCGGCAUCUCCAUGUACCUGUUCUUCGCCUCCAUCUCCUACUUCAUGUACUUUCGCAAGUUGAAGCGACAGUUCUUUCCCAAGACGAUCGAUCCCGACGAUGCUCGCGAGUUGCAUGAGCAGGUGCGGCACGAGAUUUGGAUUGCGGUGUGCUCGAUCCCAUUCAUGGCGUUUUUGAUGAUGCCGGCGGCCACCUUCUCGCACCGUGGGUACAGCAAGCUGUACUACAACAUCUCCGACUACGGCUGGGCGUACUUCCUGAUGUCGCCUGUGCUGUUCUUCGCCUUUACCGACUUCAUGGUGUACUGCUUCCACCGUGGGCUGCACCACCCGAUAAUCUACAAGCACGUGCACAAACUGCACCACACAUACAAGUACACAACGCCCUUCUCGUCGCACGCCUUUAACCCUGUUGACGGCUUCGGCCAGGGCGUUCCGUACUACGUCUUUGUCUAUUUAUUUCCCCUCCACAACAUCCUCUUCAUUGUGCUAUUCUUGGCGGUGAACUUCUGGACGAUCUCGAUCCACGACCAGGUUGAUUUUGGUGGGCACUUCAUCAACACAACUGGCCAUCACACGAUCCACCACGAACUGUCCAACUGCGACUACGGCCAGUACACGACUAUAUGGGACCGCCUGGGUGGAUCGUACCGCCCUGCCGAGCAGACGCAUCACCUAUCGUCCCUGCUGCGCGCUGGCGAUCCCAGGUAUGUGGACCCCGUGUACGAGUCAUAUCACGAGGAGAAGGGCUUCCUGGCAGGUCGGUUCAAGGAGGAGGCCGCCGCGCGUCGCUCAAAGAAGGUGGGCGCAUAAGAGAAGGAUCGGCCACCUUAUCGAGCACGCAUGCGCUAUAGUAACGCAUAUAAAUUUCUUGUGCUUUUUGUUUUAUGUUUCCAAGAAGAUGGGGUUUGGACACCGUCACGCUCACGUUCACGCCCACGCCAUUCUCGCGCCCUGACUGGUCAUGUCUUCGUAUGCCGUCGGCCGUUGAUGGAAGACGGAGGGGCAUGCGUGUGGGGCAGUUGCGCGCGAAUGGGCGCAUGCGUCUCUGGGCGAGGCCCCUUGUACUUCUCUAGUAUUUCUUGUGUGUGCGCGCGGCUCAGUCGCCGUCUUGUCUUUUCCUUCCUUCCUUCCUCCUCUACAGCUGUUACAACAUCAGCAACAUCAAGCAAACGGCAGCCAGUGUUGGCGAGAGCGCAAAAACUGAAAAGCGUGAAAGGGAGGGGAUGGUGGACUGCCAGUUAAUUCGAAUAGGAUGCGGGCUUCGGUGGACCUGGUGUACGUCUCUCUCUCUCUGUUUUUGACCUGCCUGCAUGCGUGUGCCGCGCGCUCUGAGCGCGUCCUCUCCUUUUCACGCAUUCCUUUGCUCGCCUCCUCUUUGUUUGCAUGUUGCUCUCUGUGCGUGUGUGCGAAUAUGGACGUAGGAAGGGGGAGAGGGGGAGGCGUACGUCAGCUGGCACGCAUGUGCCACGCACACUCCACCCUCUUUUCGCAGGCGUGAGAUGGGACACUUCAGCUACCCCUCCCCUACCGACCGCCACCGCCACCGCCGUCUCCAUCCCGUCCCUUACACACACACACACACGUUUUCCUUUGAUAUGUUUGCCUUUACUUUCGUCCUCUUUUUUCUCUAACUGCUGUUUUGCCUCAACGGUCUUUCCCUUCGUCCUUUGCCCGCUCUGCUCCACUCCAGACCCCCCACCUCCGUCUCUGGCUCUUCUCUGCCGUGCUAUGCUCCGCCCUGCCUGCUCUUCGGUCUUUCCUCCUCUGCUGAGGGGUACGAUACUAUAUAGAGGGGGUGGGGCGGUGGUGGGAGGUCAUAUGAGAGCUGUGCCAGCGCUUCGAGAGUGAGCAUCCGCGUUGAUUACCGUCAGCUGCACACACUACACUCCCCUGUACCUCUGCUCUCUUUUCUUAGUCACUGUCCUCCGUUUCGCGUCUCGUCUGCCAGCAUCGUGUCUCCUGCCCCAACCCCUUCCUCUACCUUUUUCUUUUUCGAGGUUGCACAUGCAGGCGAGCACUCUUGUGGUUUUUCACGGACAGGCUUUCGGCGUCCUUUCACAACCGAAAGACGAAGAAGAGGAAGGGCGCGCAGGUGAAGGGUAGCGGCGCAUAUGAACUUGGUCUUGACAAUGGCAGACCACGCUGCGCCUGCCUCCCCCUCUCUUCUUCCGUUCCCCGUGCGGGGAGCGCAGGCGUUUUCACCGCCCUCUCAUUUUGCUUCCUUUUUCUUCCUCCCUUCCGUUGUCGCGGCGGGCGAGCGACGGCGAUGUCCCCUUCCCUCCCUCUCCUCCGCACACCAAAGAAAUGCCGAUAAAACACCAACUUAUAUCUAAGGAGGGAGGGAAGAGGAAGCCCCAUGCAGACAUGACAUGUAAGAAUAAAUACACAGACGCACACGCAUACGCGCGCAAGCCAAAGAUAAGAAAGUGCGCACAGACGCGCAGGGAGGGCGAGAGGGAAGGGGCGAGGGCACUACUCCUCCUC
rnacentral:misc_RNA from 1 species